CAGUAGCCGCGGGAAUACGUAGGUGGCGAGCGUUGUCCGGAUUUAUUGGGCGUAAAGGGAGUGUAGGCGGUCUUUUAAGUCUGAUGUGAAAGCCCACGGCUCAACCGUGGAGGGUCAUUGGAAAUUGGGAGACUUGAGUGCAGAAGAGGAGAGUGGAAUUCCACGUGUAGCGGUGAAAUGCGUAGAGAUGUGGAGGAACACCAGUGGCGAAGGCGACUCUCUGGUCUGUAACUGACGCUGAGGAGCGAAAGCGUGGGGAGCGAACAGGAUUAGAUACCCGCGUAGUCCCUGUCUCUUAUAC
rnacentral:rRNA from 1 species